rnacentral:rRNA from 1 species
GUGGGGAAUAUUCCGCAAUGGACGAAAGUCUGACGGAGCAACGCCGCGUGAGUGAUGAAGGUUUUCGGACUGUAAAGCUCUGUUGUUUAGGACGAAAGUGCCUGUUGCAAAUAGUUACAGGUAUUGACGGUACUGAACGAGGAAGCCACGGCUAACUACGUGCCAGCAGCCGCGGUAAUACGUAGGUGGCAAGCGUUGUCCGGAAUUAUUGGGCGUAAAGAGCAUGAAGGCGGGAAUCUAAGUCUGUUGUGAAAAUGCGGGGCUCAACCCCGGAGUGCGAUGGAAACUGGGUUUCUUGAGUGCAGGAGAGGAAAGGGGAAUUCCCAGUGUAGCGGUGAAAUGCGUAGAUAUUGGGAGGAACACCAGUGGCGAAGGCGCCUUUCUGGACUGUGUCUGACGCUGAGAUGCGAAAGCCAGGGUAGCGAACGGGAUUAGAAACCCCUGUAGUCC